rnacentral:rRNA from 1 species
UGAAUACGAGAUGCUACGGCGUCGAAGCAGUCUAUGUCAUACUUCCAAGAAAAGCUCGCACUGUCAUAAACAAAUAAUGCCUGUACCAUAACCGACACAGGUGGGUAGGUAGAGUAUACUAAGGGGCGCGAGAUAACUCUCUCUAAGGAACUCGGCAAAAUGACUCCGUAACUUCGGGAGAAGGAGUGCCUUAUUUAUAAGGUUGCAAUAACAAGAUCCAAGCAACUGUUUAUCAAAAACACAGGUCUCCGCUAAGUCGUAAGACGAUGUAUGGGGGCUGACGCCUGCCCAGUGCCAGAAGGUUAAAGAAGUUGGUUAGCAUUCGCGAAGCUGAUAACUGAAGCCCUGGUGAACGGCGGCCGUAACGAUAACGGUCCUAAGGUAGCGAAAUUCCUUGUCGGGUAAGUUCCGACCCGCACGAAAGGCGUAAUGAUUUGGAUACUGUCUCGGAGAGGGGCUCGGUGAAAUAGACUUGUCUGUGAAGAUGCGGACUACCUGCACCAGGACAGAAAGACCCUAUGAAGCUUUACUGUAACUUGAGAUUGAAAUUGGACUUUACUUGCGCAGUAUAGGUGGGAGGCGUUGAUAAUAUUCUUGCGGGAUUAUUUGAGCCAUCAGUGAGAUACCACUCUUGUAAUGUUAGAUUUCUAACUUUGUAUCAUUAUCUGGUCAAAGGACAGUUUCAGGCGGGCAGUUUGACUGGGGCGGUCGCCUCCUAAACGGUAACGGAGGCGCACAAAGGUUUCCUCUGAACGGGUAGAAAUCGUAUCUAGAGUGUAAAGGCAUAAGGAAGCUUGACUGUGAUACCUACAAGUCGAGCAGGGACGAAAGUCGGUCUUAGUGAUCUGACGGUGCUGAGUGGAAAGGCCGUCACUCAACGGAUAAAAGUUACUCUAGGAUAACAGGCUGAUCUCCCCCAAGAGUUCACAUCGACGGGGAGGUUUGGCACCUCGAUGUCGGCUCAUCGCAUCCUGGGGCGGUAGUACGUCCCAAGGGUUGGGCUGUUCGCCCAUGAAAGCGGUACGCGAGCUGGGUUCAGAACGUCGUGAGACAGUUCGGUCCAUAUCCGGUGUAGGCGUUAGAAUAUUGAGAGGAGCCUUCUUUAGUACGAGAGGACCGAGAAGGACAUACCUCUGGUGUACCAGUUAUCGUGCCAACGGUAAACGCUGGGUAGCUAUGUAUGGAGUGGAUAACCGCUGAAAGCAUCUAAGUGGGAAGCCCACCUCAAGAUAAGUAUUCUCAU